CACUUUUUCAAACUUUCAAACAAAUCUCUUCUUUCCUCAAAUUUGAAUUUCUUUCUUUACCAACAUCUUCAUCUACUGGGCAUUGCUUCGUCUUGCUCGAGGUUCUUUCCUAGGCGAUUUGGGCUGCUGCUCUCGGAAUCAUCUACCGGCUUGAACAAUUAUUUUCUGCUAAAUCCUUUGUCCAUCCUCUCAAAUGUGUCCUUCACGACUUGCUUCUAAUUGCGCUCACAACUUCCUCAGCAUUGUGUUGGAGGCGAUUACUACCGUUGCUCGGAUCUACUGAUGGAGGAGGUAUUUCCUUCUCCCCAAUAUCUAUAUCACUUCCCUUUUUUAGGUUAAUCUCUUUUUGUGUCAAGUGAUUAUUUGAUUUCUUGAUUUUCUACUAAAAUGGUGAGGCUUUUGCACUCCAUCUGUUUGAUGAGAAUACUGAUACAGUUUUAUGAUUUAUCGAAAUGUAAGGAUUUAGUACUGCAGUCCAUGUGUCUCCUCUUCAAUUUUCAUAAGUUUUUGUGCUGGAAAUAAAUUCAUAUAUGUCACCUUCAUAUAUGUGCUGAAA